rfam:Clostridium caminithermale DSM 15212 genome assembly, contig: EJ27DRAFT_scaffold00064.64
UGGAUAGUAUCGUGAAUACGAACUAUACUGUAUUAAAUUAAAUAGUUUUACUAAAAAAUUAAUAUGGUUAGUUAUCUGCUCUGAGCCUAUAUUAUGGACCGAGACAGAAGG